UCUCGCUCAAAUUUUAAGGUUGGUUGGGAUCAGUUGUAAAGAACUUUGAUAUGUUGUAUUAAAAUAGAUGAAAUACUACUAGAACAUGGCUUAAUACUUAUACUCCAUUUUAUUAGCAUUUGUAUAGCUUAAACAUUAGUUAAAUUUCAAGAGGACGGAUCACUUACAAUCACUUGCAUGCUGCAAUCAAGAUUUUUAUCCCAAAACUUCAGUUUCUAGUUUUGCCUAAGAAAAUAAUAUCAUAUAUUUUCAAAAGCGAAGUGCUUAGAAAAAUGUGGUUGAUGCUUGUAGGGCAGCUAAUUGUAGACCCUUAUUUGCCAAUCUACCAUUUAAAGCCAACCACAAUUUGCUGGAAGAGAGGUGAAGAUGAUAUAUUUGUGAGCCUUUGCAUGUCCGUGUUUUAGAUUCUCUUUAUUCAAUGUGGAGAACAAUAUAUGUAUACAAAGCUAUGCAUCAGUUCUACCUAUCCAGGAUAUACGAUCUCUCAUUUUGGAUUUUAUACUACCUCAAAUAGUAAUAUGGGUAGAAAUACUUCUGAAAAUGUUUAGCGAUGUUUAUAGGGAACAUCGCCACCAGUAGUUCCCUAUUCAUGGCAACAAAGGGGAGCUUAAUCGAAGAUCUCAAUUUUCCGAUGGCUCAAAGAGAUGCCGCAUACUUGGUGGAAAUUUCAGAUAUAGGUCGAAUCUCCAAUCUCCGAUCUCCCUAUCGACAACCUCUCUACAAUUUUAUCCCUUCCAACAAAUACCAACAUAUGAACGUAUUUGGGCAAACUUCCAUCCAAUACAACAGCUUGGAUUAGAGAGGCCAGACCUGGUGCCUCUCAUCCAAUACAAUAUCUUAGAAGAGGACCUCCACAUUGCAAAGUCUUCAUUCGAGCAAGCUCGCUUCAAUCUGGUAUUUACAACUUUAUGCACGCAGACUAUUCUAUCCAUGUUCAACACUAAUACUUGCAGCAGAGAUGCAUUGAUAUGAGAUCCUGGAUACAGAUAUCUAAUGAUAGCCAGUGGCCAGUGCCAUUAAUUGU